rnacentral:rRNA from 1 species
GAAUGCUGACAUAAGUAACGAUAAAGCGGGUGAAAAGCCCGCUCGCCGGAAGACCAAGGGUUCCUGUCCAACGUUAAUCGGGGCAGGGUGAGUCGACCCCUAAGGCGAGGCCGAAAGGCGUAGUCGAUGGGAAACGGGUUAAUAUUCCCGUACUUGGUGUUACUGCGAAGGGGGGACGGAGAAGGCUAUGUUGGCCGGGCGACGGUUGUCCCGGUUUAAGCGUGUAGGUGUGUGUUCCAGGUAAAUCCGGUUCACUUUAACACUGAGGCGUGACGACGAGGCACUACGGUGCUGAAGCAACAAAUGCCCUGCUUCCAGGAAAAGCCUCUAAGCAUCAGGUAACACG